UACGGGGGGGCAAGCGUUGUUCGGAAUUACUGGGCGUAAAGGGCUCGUAGGUGGCUAACUAAGUCAGACGUGAAAUCCCCUCGGCUUAACCGGGGACUGCGUCUGAUACUGGAUGGGCUUGAGUGUGGGAGAGGGAUGCGGAAUUCCAGGUGUAGCGGUGAAAUGCGUAGAUAUCAGGAGGAACACCGGUGGCGAAGGCGGGUCUCUGGGCCGUAACUGACGCUGAGGAGCGAAAGCAUGGGGAGCGAACAGG
rnacentral:rRNA from 1 species